GACAGAGGGUGCAAACGUGUUCGGAAUUACUGGGCGUAAAGCGUGUGUAGGCGGCUUUGCAAGUCGGAUGUGAAAGCCCCGGGCUCAACCCGGGAAGUGCACUCGAUACUGCGAAGCUUGAGUGUCGGAGAGGUUGGUGGAAUUCUCGGUGUAGAGGUGAAAUUCGUAGAUAUCGAGAGGAACACCGGUGGCGAAGGCGGCCAACCUGGACGAACACUGACGCUGAGUGAGCGAAAGCCAGGGGAGCAAACGGG
rnacentral:rRNA from 1 species